CCUACGGGAGGCAGCAGUGGGGAAUAUUGCACAAUGGGGGAAACCCUGAUGCAGCGACGCCGCGUGAGUGAAGAAGUAUUUCGGUAUGUAAAGCUCUAUCAGCAGGGAAGAAAAUGACGGUACCUAAUUAAGAAGCCCCGGCUAACUACGUGCCAGCAGCCGCGGUCAUACUAAGGGGGCAAGCGUUCUCCGGAUUUACUGGGGGUAAAGUGAGCGUAGACGGCAGCACAAGUCUGGAGUGAAAUGCCGGGGCUUAACCCCGGAAGUGCUUUGGAAACUGUGCAGCUAGAGUGCAGGAGAGGGAAGUGGAAUUGCGAGUGUAGCGGUGAAAUGCGUAGAUAUUAGGAGGAACACCAGUGGCGAAGGCGGCUUACUGGACUGUAACUGACGUUGAGGCUCGAAAGCGUGGGGAGCAAACAGGAUUAGAUACCCCUGUAGUC
rnacentral:rRNA from 1 species